AGUGAACGUUGGCGGCGUGGAUUAGGCAUGCAAGUCGUGCGGUAAGGCCCCGCAAGGGGCACACGAGCGGCGAGAGGGAGAGUAACGCGUGGAUAACCUGCCCCUGGGAUCGGGACAGCCGCGGGCAACUGCGGUUAAUACCGAAUAAUGUCUCCGGACCAAAGGUGUGAUUCCGCCCGGGGCUGGGUCCGCGUCCUAUUAGCUUGUUGGUGAGGUAACGGCUCACCAAGGCCACGAUGGGUACGAGGUGUGAGAGCAUGACCUCGCUCACUGGGACUGAGACACUGCCCAGACACCUACGGGUGGCUGCAGGCGAGAAUCUUCGGCAAUGGGCGCAAGCCUGACCGAGCGACGCCGCGUGCGGGAUGAAGGCCUUCGGGUUGUAAACCGCUGUCGGAGGGGAGGAAAUGCGCGGGGGUUCUCCCUCGUGUUUGACCUAGCCUCAGAGGAAGGACGGGCUAAGUUCGUGCCAGCCGCCGCCGUAAAAC
rnacentral:rRNA from 1 species